rnacentral:tRNA from 1 species
GGCAUGGCUCGGUGGUUAAGAGCAUCUGCCUAGUAAGCAGAAGUGGGGUGCCAGAGUUCAAAUCCCAGUACUGCCA